AUGAUUAAAGCCAACAAGAAAGUCAGAAUUAUCAAUAAAUAUGGGACCCACUAUGGUGCCUCCCUCCAGAAAAUGGUGAAGAAAAUUAUAAUUCACCAGCAUGCCGAGGACACUUGCUCCUUCUGUGGCAAAAUCCGGAUAAAGAGACAAGCUGUGGGGACCUGGUGCUGUGGGGAUCUGGCACUGUGGCUCCUGGAUGGAAAUGGUAGCUGGUGGUGCCUGGACCUAUAACACCACUUCCACCAUCACAGUAAAGUUGCCAUCAGAAGACUGAAGGAGUUGGAAGACCAGCAG
rnacentral:lncRNA from 1 species